AUCUCUGUAGCUUAAAUAUUUUAAAGCAUUG
rnacentral:tRNA from 1 species